CUACUCUCUAUAUUAUAUAUACACAAUUAUUAUUCGUAGGUAUGAUAUAUUUAUACUAUUGGAUUUAUAUUUUCAAACAAUUGUAUACACACAGGAAACGUGUUAUUUUGUUGAACUAAAAUGCCCGUCGAUGGUUAGCUUUUUUUUUAGAAAAGACAAAUAACACGGUUGCCGCACAUGUGGUAAUAAAUCAGAAUGUGGCUUGUUAUAUUUUUCGAUAAAACUAUGCAUAAUUUUAAUUUUAAUGUAGUAUUAUUUUGGCGAAAAAACUCGACUAAAAAAUCAGCCGAAGUGUUUAAAAAAGAAAACACGUCCGAUGGUAAAAAUUAAUUGUUUAAUAAUCGGUAAAGGGAAACAAUAGAAAGAUGCGCAGAAGCAGGAUUUAAAAUUAUACAACUAUAUACAAGAUCCAUUUUCUGAUAAGAUAGAAGAAUUUACUAAAAACAAUAAAAUGGCAAGUAAAAUAUUGAGACAAGAAAAACGAAUAACGGAAAAAGAAUCUAUCCAAAAAAUAGGAGAGCAUAGCUUCAACUAAAUCUAGCUAGAUUGAUAAAAGACGGUGUCAAGCCUCAAACCCGUACGGUCAAGAACCACGAUAGAUACUCAAUUACGAAUUAAGAGGGUAUCAUCCAAAAGUUCCGAACGUAUUUUGAAAAAAAUUUAAACACCAACCACGGGGAUACGGAAGAAAGUGAAUUGUGAGCUGAUACACAGCUCAGCCUCUCCUAGAGGAGCCAAACCGGGAAGAAGUGGAAAAUAUAAUCAGAACAUUGAAAAAUAACAAAGCCCCCGGAGAGGGUCAUAUUAAUUCCGAGGUAAUAAAGAUAGGUUACACAACUACUUGUAACCAAAAUUCACAGACUACUCUAAAAGAAAUAAGCAACAUCGACCAAAUACCUGAAUAUUGGAAAACAGCUAUAAUUUGUCCCAUAUUCAAGAAAGGCUAGCUAUCCUAUGAAUACAAGAAAUUACAGAGGAAUAUUUAUUGAGCUAUUAGACUUCUGUUAAAAAAUCUUAUCCCUAACACUAUUACGAAGUAUAGGUAAGUACUCCAGAGAUACCUGUAUAUAAUCGGAGACUAUCAAAGUGGUUCUGUGAGAACUAUCCAGUUCUGACCAUAUUUUCACAAUCAGACAAGUAAUGGAACAGUAUUAUCAUUGUUAUCAUAAAGCUUUUUAUGCAUUUACGCAAAUCAAAUCUGGCCGUUGAGUCACGUUACUUUCGUAAUAAUAAUAUUAAACCUUAGAAAAUAUAUAUUAAACUCUAAUUCCCAUAUCCACGGUCUUAAAACAGUUUAAUGCAUAGUAUGCACGGAUAUAGAAUGUAUCUAUUAGGGAGGUUGAUAUUAUUAUGAUGAUAACAACAUUAAUACCCAAUCAAGCAGUCUUUGUUAUCACACCAAAAAACAUUGAAAAAUCGUUUUUAACAAU